UAAGCGACUAAGCGUACACGGUGGAUGCCCUGGCAGUCAGAGGCGAUGAAGGGCGUGCUAAUCUGCGAUAAGCGCCGGUAAGGUGAUAUGAACCGUUAUAACCGGCGAUACCCGAAUGGGGAAACCCAGUGUGACUCGUCACACUAUCAUUAACUGAAUCCAUAGGUUAAUGAGGCGAACCGGGGGAACUGAAACAUCUAAGUACCCCGAGGAAAAGAAAUCAACCGAGAUUCCCCCAGUAGCGGCGAGCGAACGGGGAGGAGCCCAGAGCCUGAAUCAGCAUGUGUGUUAGUGGAAGCGUCUGGAAAGGCGCGCGAUACAGGGUGACAGCCCCGUACACAAAAGCGCAUGUGCUGUGAGCUCGAUGAGUAGGGCGGGACACGUGGUAUCCUGUCUGAAUAUGGGGGGACCAUCCUCCAAGGCUAAAUACUCCUGACUGACCGAUAGUGAACCAGUACCGUGAGGGAAAGGCGAAAAGAACCCCGGCGAGGGGAGUGAAAAAGAACCUGAAACCGUGUACGUACAAGCAGUGGGAGCNNGGGCGUUAAGUUGCAGGGUAUAGACCCGAAACCCGGUGAUCUAGCCAUGGGCAGGUUGAAGGUUGGGUAACACUAACUGGAGGACCGAACCGACUAAUGUUGAAAAAUUAGCGGAUGACCUGUGGCUGGGGGUGAAAGGCCAAUCAAACCGGGAGAUAGCUGGUUCUCCCCGAAAGCUAUUUAGGUAGCGCCUCGUGAAUUCAUCUCCGGGGGUAGAGCACUGUUUCGGCUAGGGGGCCAUCCCGGCUUACCAACCCGAUGCAAACUGCGAAUACCGGAGAAUGUUAUCACGGGAGACACACGGCGGGUGCUAACGUCCGUCGUGAAGAGGGAAACAACCCAGACCGCCAGCUAAGGUCCCAAAGUCAUGGUUAAGUGGGAAACGAUGUGGGAAGGCCCAGACAGCCAGGAUGUUGGCUUAGAAGCAGCCAUCAUUUAAAGAAAGCGUAAUAGCUCACUGGUCGAGUCGGCCUGCGCGGAAGAUGUAACGGGGCUAAACCAUGCACCGAAGCUGCGGCAGCGANNUGCUGGAGGUAUCAGAAGUGCGAAUGCUGACAUAAGUAACGAUAAAGCGGGUGAAAAGCCCGCUCGCCGGAAGACCAAGGGUUCCUGUCCAACGUUAAUCGGGGCAGGGUGAGUCGACCCCUAAGGCGAGGCCGAAAGGCGUAGUCGAUGGGAAACGGGUUAAUAUUCCCGUACUUGGUGUUACUGCGAAGGGGGGACGGAGAAGGCUAUGUUGGCCGGGCGACGGUUGUCCCGGUUUAAGCGUGUAGGUGUGUGUUCCAGGUAAAUCCGGUUCACUUUAACACUGAGGCGUGACGACGAGGCACUACGGUGCUGAAGCAACAAAUGCCCUGCUUCCAGGAAAAGCCUCUAAGCAUCAGGUAACAUCAAAUCGUACCCCAAACCGACACAGGUGGUCAGGUAGAGAAUACCAAGGCGCUUGAGAGAACUCGGGUGAAGGAACUAGGCAAAAUGGUGCCGUAACUUCGGGAGAAGGCACGCUGACACGUAGGUGAAGUGAUUUACUCAUGGAGCUGAAGUCAGUCGAAGAUACCAGCUGGCUGCAACUGUUUAUUAAAAACACAGCACUGUGCAAACACGAAAGUGGACGUAUACGGUGUGACGCCUGCCCGGUGCCGGAAGGUUAAUUGAUGGGGUCAGCGCAAGCGAAGCUCCUGAUCGAAGCCCCGGUAAACGGCGGCCGUAACUAUAACGGUCCUAAGGUAGCGAAAUUCCUUGUCGGGUAAGUUCCGACCUGCACGAAUGGCGUAAUGAUGGCCAGGCUGUCUCCACCCGAGACUCAGUGAAAUUGAACUCGCUGUGAAGAUGCAGUGUACCCGCGGCAAGACGGAAAGACCCCGUGAACCUUUACUAUAGCUUGACACUGAACAUUGAGCCUUGAUGUGUAGGAUAGGUGGGAGGCUUUGAAGUGUGGACGCCAGUCUGCAUGGAGCCGACCUUGAAAUACCACCCUUUAAUGUUUGAUGUUCUAACGUGGACCCGUUACCCGGGUUGCGGACAGUGUCUGGUGGGUAGUUUGACUGGGGCGGUCUCCUCCUAAAGAGUAACGGAGGAGCACGAAGGUUGGCUAAUCCUGGUCGGACAUCAGGAGGUUAGUGCAAUGGCAUAAGCCAGCUUGACUGCGAGCGUGACGGCGCGAGCAGGUGCGAAAGCAGGUCAUAGUGAUCCGGUGGUUCUGAAUGGAAGGGCCAUCGCUCAACGGAUAAAAGGUACUCCGGGGAUAACAGGCUGAUACCGCCCAAGAGUUCAUAUCGACGGCGGUGUUUGGCACCUCGAUGUCGGCUCAUCACAUCCUGGGGCUGAAGUAGGUCCCAAGGGUAUGGCUGUUCGCCAUUUAAAGUGGUACGCGAGCUGGGUUUAGAACGUCGUGAGACAGUUCGGUCCCUAUCUGCCGUGGGCGCUGGAGAACUGAGGGGGGCUGCUCCUAGUACGAGAGGACCGGAGUGGACGCAUCACUGGUGUUCGGGUUGUCAUGCCAAUGGCACUGCCCGGUAGCUAAAUGCGGAAGAGAUAAGUGCUGAAAGCAUCUAAGCACGAAACUUGCCCCGAGAUGAGAUCUCCCUGAGACUUAGAGUCUACUGAAGGAACGUUGAAGACGACGACGUUGAUAGGCCGGGUGUGUAAGCGCAGCGAUGCGUUGAGCUA
rnacentral:rRNA from 2 species